rnacentral:misc_RNA from 1 species
CCGAGUUUACAACUCCCAAAUCCCUGUGAACAUACCACUUGUUGCCUCGGCGGAUCAGCCCGCUCCCGGUAAAACGGGACGGCCCGCCAGAGGACCCCUAAACUCUGUUUCUAUAUGUAACUUCUGAGUAAAACCAUAAAUAAAUCA